CCCAUUCUUAUUUGUCAUUUUCA
rnacentral:snRNA from 1 species